UUCCCGCACAAAAUGGGUGGAGCCCGAAGC
rnacentral:sRNA from 1 species